GACAGAGGUGCCAAGCGUUAGGCGGAAUCACUGGGCUUAAAGGGCGCGUAGGCGGGUCCGCAAGUCGAUCGUGAAAUCCUUCGGCUCAACUGAAGGGGGUCGGUCGAUACUGCGGGUCUUGAGGGAUGCAGAGGAGACUGGAAUUCCACGUGUAGCAGUGAAAUGCGUAGAGAUGUGGAGGAACACCGAUAGCGAAGGCAGCCUCCUGGGCCAGCACUGACGCUCAUGCACGAAAGCGUGGGGAGCAAACAGG
rnacentral:rRNA from 1 species